GGGAAGGUAGUCUAGAUUGGUAUGAUACUUGGUCCGGGACCAAGAGGUCGGGGGUUCAAAUCCCUCCUUUCCCA
rnacentral:tRNA from 1 species